ACCCGUAUUUUUGUACAGUGGAAUAAUCCGGAUUUAUUUAUGAUAAGCUAAGGACAAAAUUAUUUUGGGAUACAAAGUCGGGAUUCUUGACCUUCGAAUUUAUUUUGAGAUAUAAGUUGUGCAUGAAUUUAUUGGUAUGGAACAAUUAGGAAAAUUUGGGACCAAAAGUGAAAAAUUGGAAGAAGAAAAUCAUCCACAACUUCCAUGGUUGGCCCACACAAUUUUGUGUCAUCUUUUAAUUGGGACAACACAUUAAUGUGGGCCAAGGGAUAUUGUACACUCUUUAUAUUAGAUAAAAGAUGACUUCUAGUCAUUAUUCUUCAUUCACCACACUUGGAAAAAAAAGGGGCAAAGCUGAAAACCUCCAAGGAGGCUCACGGCCAGCAGCAACAAAGAUCAACUUCCAUUUCUUGUCCUCCAAAAAUUAUUUUGAUGAUGUAAACCCACUAUAUUGAGGUCCCUAAGUAGCGUGGAAGCAUCGUUGGAGCGAUCAACCCAUUAUUUUCAUCUUUUGGAAACCCUAGGCUAUUGGAAAGUUGAAGAAGGAAGACCUUGGGCAGCCCGAAUCAUAGGUUGGAUUUAGCUUGAGUUUGGAUCGUAUUGGAGAGCGUUUGAGGUACAGACGCACAGCCUGGUGAUCCACCUGUUUAGGACACCCUUUCUGCUAUUCGGAGUGCUCCUCUCUUUCCGAAGCUUAUACUUUUGGUAUAUAUAUUUAUUAGUGCAUUUGUAUAUAUUCGUUCAUGGGUACGGCGGGGCCCUGUCCCGUCAUAUGAUUCUGUCGGUUUGUUUAGAGGUCUGUGGACAUGUUUGUGGGUUAAGGUCUUUCUGUAUGAAUGUAUGUACAUGUCGUUUGGGCGAU